UGGGGAAUAUUGGACAAUGGGGGAAACCCUGAUCCAGCAAUGCCGCGUGUGUGAAGAAGGCCUGAGGGUUGUAAAGCACUUUCAGUGGGGAAGAAAAAUCUUUGGUUAAGAGCUAAAGGUAUUGACGUUACCUAAAGAAGAAGCACCGGCUAACUCCGUGCCAGCAGCCGCGGUAAUACGGAGGGUGCAAGCGUUAAUCGGAAUUACUGGGCGUAAAGCGCGCGUAGGUGGUUAAGCAAGUUGUCUGUAAAAGCCCUGGGCUCAACCUAGGAAGGUCAGGCAAAACUGCUUAACUUUGAGUACAAGAGAGGGUAGUGGAAUUUCCGGUGUAGCGGUGAAAUGCGUAGAUAUCGGAAGGAACACCAGUGGCGAAGGCGGCUACCUGGCUUGAUACUGACACUGAGGCGCGAAAGCGUGGGGAGCAAACAG
rnacentral:rRNA from 1 species